rnacentral:rRNA from 1 species
AGAACGAACGCUGGCGGCAGGCUUAACACAUGCAAGUCGAGCGGGUAGCAAUACCAGCGGCAGACGGGUGAGUAACACGUGGGAACCUUCCUAGAGGUACGGAACAACGCAGGGAAACUUGAGCUAAUACCGAAUACGCCCUUACGGGGAAAGAUUUAUUGCCGAAGGAACGGCCCGCGUCCGAUUAGCUAGUUGGUGAGGUAAUGGCUCACCAAGGCUACGAUCGGUAGCUGGUCUGAGAGGAUGACCAGCAUCACUGGGACUGAGACACGGCCCAGACUCCUACGGGAGGCAGCAGUGGGGAAUAUUGGACAAUGGGCGCAAGCCUGAUCCAGCCAUGCCGCGUGGAUGAUGAAGGCCUUAGGGUUGUAAAGUCCUUUUAACGGGAGAUAAUGACGGUACCCGUAGAAUAAGCCCGGCUAACUUCGUGCCAGCAGCCGC